rnacentral:ncRNA from 1 species
UAACUGGCUUGUGGCAGCCAAGCGUUCAUAGCGACGUUGCUUUUCAAUCCUUCGAUAUCGGCUUUUACAGCCUUUGUUUUAGCAGGAAUUGGAGGUCGAUUUGUCGCUAGUAAUGAAGGGG